CUUCUUCCUGAGCUUCCUCAGCCGCCCCUUCGAUCCGCCGGUUUUCCACCUCAAUCGGCCACGAUUCCUCUCAAAUUUCUUCUCCACCUGCUCCCCUUCUCCUCCUACACCGUCGCCGCCCAUCGAUUUCGGCGAUGGGUGUUGAUGGAGAGGUAGACAGGGACAACGAGAGCGAAGACGAGGCUGCGGAGGAGGACGAAGGGGACGUGGGCGAGGGCGAAGCAGUGGAGGACGGCGAGGCGGCGAGGCGGCGAGGCGGCGAAGCGGCGAGGCGGCGAGGCGGCGAAGCGGCGAGCCGGAGGGAGCGAAGCAUCCGAGAAAAGGCAGAGGGGUAUUUUCGGUAUAAAAAAAUAUUUUUUAACAGAACCCCUAACGGAACCCUAACGGAAGGGGUGAAGUGCACAUUUUUCAUUUUACAAGGGGGCAAAGUGUAGGUUUUUAAAUGUCAGGGGGGGAAAGUGAAAAAGCGGGUUAUUACAAGGGGGUUUUCUGUAAUUUAGCCAUUUAUUUUAAUUAAGGCAUUGA
rnacentral:lncRNA from 1 species